ACCUCUUUCUCUAAUCCGCAUCUCCACCCUUAACUCGCAUCGGCCACGGGCGGCUCGCGAGACACGGGCGGUCGCGCCCUACGCGAGACGGAGAAGCCCCAGUCCAUCCGUUCUCCCCAGUCCGUCCGUCUCGCGGAGAAGUGAAGAAUUCGCGUCUCGCCAUGGCGGCCUUCCCUGUCCUCCACUACCACCGCCUUCUCCUCCGCCCCGGCCUCCGCCUCUCCCGCACACCUUUCUCCCCUCCACUCCUCCGGCCUUUCUGCUUCCCCGUCUCCGCCCGGUCCUCUUCUUCCUCCUCCUCAUCCGCCUCGACGGCCUCCCGAGAGGAGACCGAGGAAAUCGCGCAGCAGCAGCAGCUCAUCGAUGUGAACCCGCCAAGAGGGACGAGGGAUUUUCCGCCAGAGGACAUGAGGCUGCGCAACUGGAUUUUCCAGCACUUUAGAGAGGUGUCCCGGAUUCUAUCUUUCGAAGAGGUUGACUUCCCGGUCCUUGAGUCUGAGGCGCUUUUCAUCAGGAAGGCUGGGGAAGAGAUAACCCAACAACUGUAUAAUUUUGAGGACAAAGGAGGUCGCCGUGUUGUUUUGAGGCCCGAACUCACCCCCUCACUUGCACGGCUAGUAAUCAAGCAAGGAAAGUCUGUCUCUCUUCCAUUAAAAUGGUUUACGAUCGGGCAAUGUUGGAGAUAUGAACGAAUGACAAGGGGAAGACGUCGAGAGCAUUAUCAAUGGAAUAUGGAUAUCUUUGGUGUAACCAGAGUGCGGGCAGAGGCUGAACUUAUUCAUGCUAUUGUUCUGUUAUUUGAACGGCUUGGAAUAACAUCGUCAGAUGUGGGAAUCAGAAUCUCUAGCCGAAAGGUCCUUCAGGCAGUGCUGCAAAUGUAUUCUAUACCAGAAAAUUUGUUUGCAGAAGUUUGCGUGAUGGUCGACAAAUUGGGAAAAAUCACCAAAGAAGAGGUUGAGAAGGAAUUGAUGUUGGCUGGGGUGACACCAGAAGCUGUCAAAGGAAUAGUUGAAGUACUCUCCCUUAAAUCAUUGGAGAGACUUGAAGAGAUUCUGGGAUCUGAUGGUGAAGCUGUUGCUGAUUUGAAAAAACUGUUUUCACUUGCUGAGCAUUAUGGCUAUUCUCAGUGGAUUAGUUUCGAUGCAUCUGUAGUCCGUGGACUUGCCUAUUACACAGGAAUUGUCUUUGAGGCAUUUGACCGAGAAGGUAAGCUCCGAGCAAUUUGUGGCGGUGGAAGAUAUGAUCGAUUGCUAUCCACAUUCGGUAGUGAAGAUAUUCCAGCUUGUGGUUUUGGAUUUGGGGAUGCUGUUGUAGUUGAAUUACUAAAGGAAAAAGGGCUUCUACCUGAACUGGCACGCCAAGUAGAUGACAUAGUCUUUCCAUUGGAUGAGGAACUCGAAGAUCAGGCCUCAAUGGUUGCCUCCUCCCUUCGAAGUAAAGGCCGCAGCGUCGAUCUUGUAGAGGAUAGACGCCUCAAAUGGGUUUUUAAGCACGCUGAGCGAAUCAAUGCAACUAGGCUUUUCUUGGUGGGCAAUUCCGAGUGGCAACGAGGCACAGUGCGGGUAAAGGUUCUAUCGACAAGAGAAGAAUACGAAGUCAAAAUUGACGAGCUGGGUUGAACAGAACAAUUCAACGGAUACAUUUAUGACAGAUUGAAUUAUUGAUAAAGUUAGGACGUCAUGCCAAGAGUCAGUGGAUGGAAUGUGAGGACUUUUUUUGAUUUAUUUGGUGGAUGGAUUGUGAGGGCGGUUAAUGUCAAAAGCUAAUCUGUACAUGACAAUUCCAAGUGGAUCGAGCUAUCGACAAACACAAUCUCGCCAAAAGGAUCAAAUGGGACCAUACAAAAAUAUGAGAAGAUACAUGCACGACGAGGAAUCAAAUGGGGCCGGGGUCAGGGAUCACUAGGAUGGUGGUUUCAUCUUUUUG